rnacentral:rRNA from 1 species
GGCGUAAAGAGUGGUUAAGUGUAUCUUGAUAGAACUAAAGCCGAACGCCCUCAAGACCGUCAUACGUUUCCGAAGGUAUGAAGCCCAACUACGAAAGUAACUUUAACUGUAUCCGACUCCACGAAAGCUGUGAAACAAACUGGGAUUAGAUACCCCACUAUGCCCAGCCCUAAACUUUGAUAAUUUAUCACACUCAUUAUCCGCCUGGGAACUACGAGCUUCAGCUUUAAACCCAAAGGACUUGGCGGUGCUUAAGAUCCACCUAGAGGAGCCUGUUCUAGAACCGAUACCCCCCGUUCAACCUCACCCUCUCUUGUUUAUCCCGCCUAUAUACCGCCGUCGUCAGCCCACCCUGUGAAGGUCCAAUAGUGAGCAGGAUCGGUAGAACCCAAAACGCCAGGUCGAGGUGUAGCGUAUGAGAGGGGAAGAAAUGGGCUACAUUUCCUAACACAAGGAAAUACGAAUGAUGCACUGAAAUAAGCAUAUUUGAAGGAGGAUUUAGCAGUAAAUGAAAAGCAGAGCGUUUCAUUGAAA